rnacentral:rRNA from 1 species
UACAGAGGGUGCGAGCGUUAAUCGGAAUUACUGGGCGUAAAGCGUGCGUAGGCGGUUAUUUAAGUCGGGUGGGAAAGCCCCGGGCUCAACCUGGGAAUUGCAUUCGAGACUGAAUAGCUAGGGUACGGUAGAGGGAAGCGGAAUUUCCGGUGUAGCGGUGAAAUGCGUAGAUAUCGGAAGGAACAUCAGUGGCGAAAGCGGCUUCCUGGACCAGUACCGACGUUCAGGCACGAAAGCGUGGGGAGCAAACAGG